AGUGAACGCUGGCGGCGUGCUUAACACAUGCAAGCCGAACGAGAACGGGCUAUAGCUUGCUAUAGUUGUCAGCUAAGUGGCGCACGGGUGAGUAAUGUAUAGGUAAUAUGCCUCUUACUAAGGGAUAACAAAUGGAAACGUUUGCUAAUACCUUAUACUCCUUUUAAACAGAAGUUUAAAAGGGAAAGAUUUAUUGGUAAGAGAUUAGCCUGUAUUGUAUCAGUUAGUUGGUGGGGUAAUGGCUUACCAAGACUAUGACACAUAACUGGUUUGAGAGGAUGAUCAGUCACACUGGAACUGAGACACGGUCCAGACUCCUACGGGAGGCAGCAGUGGGGAAUAUUGCACAAUGGACGAAAGUCUGAUGCAGCAACGCCGCGUGGAGGAUGACACAUUUCGGUGCGUAAACUCCUUUUAUAUGAGAAGAUAAUGACGGUAUUAUAUGAAUAAGCACCGGCUAACUCCGUGCCAGCAGCCGCCGUAAAAC
rnacentral:rRNA from 1 species